rnacentral:rRNA from 1 species
UCAAGUGACUAAGUGCAUGUGGCGGAUGCCUUGGCGAUCACAGGCGAAGAAAGACGCGGCAGCCUGCGAAAAGCUGCGGGGAGCUGGCAAACGAGCUUUGAUCCGCAGAUAUCUGAAUGGGGGAACCCACACCGCAAGGUGUAUCCGUGACUGAAUACAUAGGUUACGGAGGCGAACGAGGAGAACUGAAACAUCUAAGUAUCCUCAGGAAAAGAAAUCAACCGAGAUUCCGGCAGUAGCGGCGAGCGAACCCGGAGGAGCCUAGCUUUUGAUAGUACGAACUUUAGCCGAAAGGUCCUGGAAAGGCCUGCUAUAGUGGGUGAUAGCCCCGUAGGCGAAAGAGUUCGUAUGGUACUAAGGAAGCGAGAAGUAGAGCGGGACACGUGGAAUCCUGUUCGAAGAUGGGGGGACCAUCCUCCAAGGCUAAAUACUCGUGAUCGACCGAUAGUGAACCAGUACCGUGAGGGAAAGGCGAAAAGAACCCCGGGAGGGGAGUGAAAUAGAACCUGAAACCGCAUGCAUACAAACAGUAGGAGCCUCGUCAGAGGUGACUGCGUACCUUUUGCAUAAUGGGUCAGCGACUUACAUUCUGUGGCGAGCUUAACCGAAUAGGGGAGGCGCAGCGAAAGCGAGUUCGAAAUGAGCGUCCAGUCGCAGGGUGUAGACCCGAAACCAGAUGAGCUAUCCAUGGCCAGGUUGAAGGUGUGGUAACACACACUGGAGGACCGAACCGACUAGUGUUGCAAAAUUAGCGGAUGAGCUGUGGAUAGGGGUGAAAGGCCAAACAAAUCUGGAGAUAGCUGGUUCUCCCCGAAAACUAUUGAGGUAGUGCCUCGUGUGUCGCUCCAGGGGGUAGAGCACUGUUUUGGCUAGGGGGACAUGGAGUCUUACCAAACCAAGGCAAACUCCGAAUACCUGGAAGCGUAAGCACGGGAGACAGAGCACCGGGUGCUAACGUCCGGACUCAAAAGGGAAACAACCCAGACCGCCGGCUAAGGUCCCCAAUAACAGCUAAGUGGAAAACGAAGUGGAAAGGCCGUGACAACCAGGAAGUUGGCUUAGAAGCAGCCAUCCUUCAAAGAAAGCGUAAUAGCUCACUGGUCGAGUCCUUCUGCGCGGAAGAUGUAACGGGGCUAAGCUGUUAACCGAAGCCGCGGAUGCACUGGUUAUCCAGUGCGUGGUAGGGGAGCGUUCUGUAAGUCUGCGAAGGCGGUUCGAGAGGACUGCUGGAGAUAUCAGAAGUGCGAAUGCUGACAUGAGUAACGUUAAAGCAGGUGAAAAGCCUGCUCGCCGUAAGCCCAAGGAUUCCUGCUCUACGUUCAUCGGAGCAGGGUGAGUCGGCUCCUAAGGUCAGGCCGAAAGGCGUAGCCGAUGGGAAUCAGGUUAAUAUUCCUGAACCUGCGUCAGAUGCGAUGGGGGGACGGAGCAUGAAAGAUCAUCCGGGUGUUGGAUGUCCCGGUUGACGAGCGUAGGAGGUCUGCAGGCAAAUCCGCAGACGCAUCUCCAAGGCGAAGUCACGUGCCGCCACGGCGGCGAAGUGAUCGGAAGUGCUUCCAAGAAAAGCCUCUAAGCACCAGUCUGGCGCGGACCGUACCGCAAACCGACACUGGUGGGCGAGCUGAAUAUGCUCAGGCGCUUGAGAGAACUCGGGAGAAGGAACUCGGCAAAUUGACACCGUAACUUCGGAAGAAGGUGUGCCGUAGUAGCGUGAGAGGAGAGACACCUUGAGCGUGAAUCGGUCUCAGAGAAUAGGUGGCUGCGACUGUUUAUUAAAAACACAGCACUCUGCAAAGUCGAAAGACGACGUAUAGGGUGUGAUGCCUGCCCGGUGCUGGAAGAUUAAUUGAUGGGGUGAGAGCCCUUGAUCGAAGUCCCAGUAAACGGCGGCCGUAACUAUAACGGUCCUAAGGUAGCGAAAUUCCUUGUCGGGU